CCGCCCCCGCCCCUCAUGGAUGUUACUCCUUGCCACAUUGAUGUCGAAGCACCUGCAAAAUUAGCUGUUUUCCAAUAUCCUGAAACCAUUUUGGAUCUGUUUUUGUGCCCUGGUCUAGGAACCCGAGGUUCAAUGAUGGCGCUAAAUGAAUUCAGGGUGAGUUCCUUCUCCCGCUAACCGAACUCUAAAAAUUUUGGCUGAACGUCUAAAGAAGCUCUGAGCACCCGGAGGCCUUUAAGGAAAACAGUCAACUGGCUGCGCACUGCUGCAGUUGAGGGCAGGGAGGGGGAGGUGCUGGAAAGGCCAAACAGGUGAGUGGUUUUUCUAGAUUCAUUAAAAGAAGGUGGGGGUAGCAUUUAGUAAUACUGAUAGUUUUUUGUACAGUGCAGCCACAGUUUUCAAAGUUCUUUCUCACGUGCCCUGAUUUUAUUCCUUAUUGCUCCAGAACGCUGGGCAAAGCCAGGAUUUCUUUUUCCCUUAUAAGAUAGAUCACUGUUCAUCAUUGCUCAUUGUAGAACAGAUGUGUUGGUCCUAUCUCUGAUUGGGGCAUUUCAACUGAUUCUUCUGUUUAUUAGGUUUGCCUUCCCCCCACCCCCUCAUGAUAAUUGAGAUAAUCCUUGAGGAAGGGAGGCCAUGUAAUGGAAUUGGAUUCUGCCCAGGGUUGGAAUUUCCUUUGCAACCUUGAGCUAGUUAUUUACAUAAUUUCUGUUGUCUUUCUGUAAAAUGGAACAAUAGCUUCUAACUUGUUAGGAUUGAGAUUUUAAUUUGUUUUGUAGUAAGAAGGAACUCUUAUUGAGGUUGAGGAAGAUCAGACACUGUAUAAAACGGCUUAUCUGCAUCAACCUUAAUAUUAUACUUACAUUGUGUAUUGUCUAUAUUAAACCCUUAUCAUUAUUUGCAAGGUUGAUUCUGUUGACUCCAUUUUACAGUCCAGGUAAGUAGAGAGGAUAAAUAAUGUGCCUACAACAUUUGGAGCUACAGCUGGUAUCUGAGCCAGUAAAUCUGUUUUUGAGAGGUGGCUUUCACAAGCUUAGGCUCCCAGAGGUGAUUUGGGAUACUCAAAAUUCCCAUCAGUGCCCCAUUCUUUAUUAUAUAUAAUCCUAUGUAAAGUGCUAUGCAAAUGCGUCUUCACAACCAACCCCCAGCCUCCCCUUCCAAGAUUGUGCCAAGGAAUUCUUCCAUAUACAGAAGUUGUGGAUCUGCUACUGCUACAGACUGUAACAUAAAUACAACAUACAGUAUAUAGAGCACAGUGUGGGUCGCUCAGGAAGCUGCCAGCAAGUGUUGGUUUUUAUCGGUAUUGGUACUGUUGCUGGCUAACAGGUCAAAAGUACUUUGUAAAAGUGCUUAAAACAUAAGGGUCAUUAUUCUUAUCACUACUGUUACUACUACUGUAAUAAAGUUCAGUUGAAUCAAGAAAUAUUUAUUUUUAUUUUGACACCCAAUUUCCAGAACCUUCCCCUGUCUGCCACUCCCAGCACCCAGAUCUUGCACUUAUUCUGGGGCCCCAGGUGCAAAUGAAAGGGG
rnacentral:lncRNA from 1 species